rnacentral:rRNA from 1 species
GAUGAACGCUGGCGGCGUGCCUAAUACAUGCAAGUCGAGCGAAGCGGGGACGGGUGAGUAACACGUGGAUAACCUCCUAUAAGACUGGGAUAACUUCGGGAAACCGGAGCUAAACCGGUUACUUAUAGAUGGAUCCUAGCUGCAUGAGCUAGUUGGUAAGGUAACGGCUUACCAAGGCAACGAUGCAUAGCCGACCUGAGAGGGUGAUCGGCCACACGGGAACUGAGACACGGUCCAGACGCCUACGGGAGGCAGCAGGAGGGAAUAUUGCGCAAUGGGCGAAAGCCUGACGGAGCAAGGCCGCGUGAGUGAUGAAGGUCUUCGGAUCGUAAAACUCUGUUAUUAGGGAAGCGGUAGCUAAUCAGGAAGCCCCGGCUAACUACGUGCCAGCAGCCGCGGUAAUAC